AACGUCAAAGAAGGUAAUUUUGACAACUUAGGUCGAAUCGCAUCGUUAGAAUACACGUUUUAGAGUCAAAAUUUGUUGUUGUGGUCUGAUGCUUUUGCCAACUUGCCAACAUUCAAUCAUGGUUAUGCUUGUAUUGCGAGUUACAAUGAAAAGGAUCAUCAACUUUGUCUAUGGAAUUUUCCUUGUAUGGAAACUGUGAACAUGUACGGAAUGGCACUGGUAUCAUGUUAAGACUCUUCAAGAUGCUCUUUCCAACAUUCAGAUUUUUGGUUGUGACAGAGAAGCAAUCCACGAAGGUGUCUUCAAGUUGCAUAAUCUAAUUUAAAUAGCACGAUGAAGGAGCAGUCAGCCCACCAAAGUUGAGUUCUUUAUAUGUUUUGAAAUAGGAAAGCAAAUUAACAUCAUUGUUUAUGUUAUUUGAAGUCAAAACGUUCUUACAUUGGAUACAGCUGUGGAUUUUGAAAGCUUUGCUUAGCAAAUAUCCUGAAACAUAGGCAGCAGCAUUUUUGAGCAAUAAAUUGUUGCUAAUAUUUUGUUCUCGGUAGUCAUUUUCACCAAUCAACACUGAGUUACUUGGAGCUUUUGCAUGGGUAAGUGGCAUACUAAAUGGUUUGGGCUUUUUUUGAAAAUUGUGUUAGCAGAGUGUCCAUAUCUUUAGAACAGUUUCCUUUGGAAGAGGUCAAAAGUGAACUGAAAAAAACCUUUCAAAAAGCUCUGAUAAAUUGUAUUGGCGUGGGAUUGUCAGAAUUACCUCCUUGAUGGCGUAUUGUUCCAAAAAAAAUUCUCUAGAGCAUCUGUGUUUAAUCUUCUGAUAAGCAAGAAUGCAAAAUUAUGUGAGGUAUGAAAAUAGGUCCAGAAACAGAUAAUGGCCUUUAUAGAUAUAAGCCAUCCCUUCAGUGAUUUGGUUCUGCCUGUGAUGUUUUUACCAUUUUCACCACUUUGAUUCCCUGUAUAAAGGACAUUGCUUCUUUGAGAAAAGCAAUGUGACUAUUGCUGUUGCUUAUUGCACUUCUUUGUUCUUUUGCUGCUUUCAAUGUGAAACUAUUGACUCAAUCGAAAAGCGAAUCAAAUUUGAAAAGCAACUCAGCUGUACCCAAGGCUGAUGGUGGUAGUGCUCCAAUUGAUGAAUAUGUGCAAAUCGAUGCAGCAACGGUGUGGCUGAAUAUUUGUGUAGCACAUUUAACUUGAAAAUUAAUCUGAAAAUUAAUGCAGCGACAGCGAUGUAACGAAAAUAACAAUAUAUAUAUAUAUAUCAAUAGAAGCAAGAGGACAAUUUUAUUGCCUUACAACGGAAUCAAUACUUUAAAUUAUCUAAAACAUGACAAAUAUAAGGAACAUAUAGUUAAGAGCAUCUGGAAGUUAGCUACAAUCAUACAAUAUAAGAAUUUUCCCAACACAAUAUGGCAUUGGCAUUAAAUACAAUUGCACAAGUUUGCAAUUUCUCAAUGA